CUUCAAUACCUGAGAAUGAGGGCAUGUCUACCCUUACCUCCGGAGUGAUCGAUCCAGCGGGGAUCAAUUUACCGCGUCUAGUGAAGACGCAAUAAAUCGACUGCUGAGCGUUCUCCCGUCAACUCUGGUACUUCACCGGCGCAAGAAGCAUAGGCGGAGUCAA